rnacentral:rRNA from 1 species
GAAACGACUGCUAAGACUGGAUAGGAAAUAAAAAGGCAUCUUUUUAUUUUUAAAAGACCUUUUUCGGAAGGUAUGCUUAAAGAGGGGCUUGCGUCACAUUAGUUAGUUGGCAGGGUAAAGGCCUACCAAGACUAUGAUGUGUAGCUGGACUGAGAGGUUGAACAGCCACAUUGGGACUGAGACACGGCCCAAACUCCUACGGGAGGCAGCAGUAGGGAAUUUUCGGCAAUGGAGGAAACUCUGACCGAGCAACGCCGCGUGAACGAUGAAGUAUUUCGGUAUGUAAAGUUCUUUUAUUGAAGAAGAAAAAAUAGUGGAAAAACUAUCUUGACGAUAUUCAAUGAAUAAGCCCCGGCAAACUAUGUGCCAGCAGCCGCGGUAAUACAUAGGGGGCGAGCGUUAUCCGGAAUUAUUGGGCGUAAAGGGUGCGUAGGCGGUUUAAUAAGUCUAUAGUUUAAUUUCAGUGCUUAACACUGUCCUGCUAUAGAAACUAUUAGACUAGAGUGAGAUAGAGGCAAGUGGAAUUCCAUGUGUAGCGGUAAAAUGCGUAAAUAUAUGGAGGAACACCAGAGGCGUAGGCGGCUUGCUGGGUCUUUACUGACGCUGAGGCACGAAAGCGUGGGGAGCAAACAGGAUUAGAUACCCUGGUAGUCCACGCCGUAAACGAUGAGUACUAAGUGUCGGGAUUACUCGGUACUGAAGUUAACACAUUAAGUACUCCGCCUGAGUAGUACGUACGCAAGUAUGAAACUUAAAGGAAUUGACGGGACUCCGCACAAGCGGUGGAUCAUGUUGUUUAAUUCGAAGAUACACGAAAAACCUUACCAGGUCUUGACAUACUCUGCAAAGCUAUAGCAAUAUAGUGGAGGUUAUCAGGGAUACAGGUGGUGCAUGGUUGUCGUCAGCUCGUGUCGUGAGAUGUUAGGUUAAGUCCUAAAACGAGCGCAACCCUUGUCAUUAGUUGCCAGCAUGUCAUGAUGGGCACUUUAAUGAGACUGCCAAUGAAAAAUUGGAGGAAGGUGAGGAUCACGUCAAAUCAUCAUGCCCCUUAUGAUCUGGGCUACAAACGUGAUACAAUGGCUGUUACAAAGAGUAGCUGAAACGCAAGUUUAUAGCCAAUCUCAUAAAAGCAGUCUCAGUUCGGAUUGAAGUCUGCAACUCGACUUCAUGAAGUUGGAAUCGCUAGUAAUCGCGAAUCAGCAUGUCGCGGUGAAUACGUUCUCGGGGUUUGUACACACCGCCCGUC